rnacentral:lncRNA from 1 species
UUUAUAUGUGGACUGACUGCAGCUAUGCAAGAAUAGAGAUAAGGCCUAGUCCUAUCGAAGACUAGCAUCUUCAAGGGUCUUGCAGUAAUAGACGAGAGUAGAGCAAGGUAACAUAACUAAAAGUCAUAUUGUUGCAGCAAUAUUAAUGUGAGGUCACACCCAGAGAUCCUCCCUCGACUCCGUGCUAGGAAGCAAUCCCGGAGCAACAAAUCCAGUUAAGUAACCAUUGUACUUGUAUAAGAAUAGGGCACAACUCCAAGUCGUCCUGUAACCGUGGACACGGCUAUUUGAAUAGGUAAGUGCUUCCGUGCAGGGGUGCACAACAUAUUCCCCGUCACACUCGAUAACACUCUGGCCGGACACACUUUUCUCGGUCAUGCCCGGCCUUGGAAUAUCAACACGUCGCAGCCCCACCUAAGCUCAACAGAGAGGCCAGCCCGCCGGUCUAACUCCUAAACACAAAGGGGUCAUGGGCCCACUUGUCCUCUGCGCUCCUACAUGAUGCAAGGGCGGCCGAUGUCAGUACUAGCACCCCUUAAUACAAGAGCGAUGCAUCUCGGGACCACUCAGGCACGCGCCGCUCCAUUGCUGACAUCUGAAGAGCUUCAGCUGAUACGGCGACGUCGAGUACCCAUAAUUCUUCCCACGCACACGGUUAAUGCAUAAUUAGGCCCUCCGACCAACCCAGAUCGAUACCCAAAUCCAUUAUCAUUUUAAUUAAGUCAUCGACACAACAACGCGGUAAAUCCACCCGCCUAACAUUUAUUCAUGAAAGAUCCAAGUAACAAGGUCAAGUAACUGUGUGGUUGUAACAUCAGGAGGAUCCGAGGCAUCACCCUCGUUGGAUCCAGAACGAUGUAACCGUCAAGGUAGACUUAGAGGAAUCACCCUCGAGGGUCCCAUAGUUGAGGGGUUGCACGAGAGAGACAUCGUGGGAGUGGUGAAGGAGGAAUCACCCUCGAUAACCAUGACCGACUAGCUACACUACAGAGGUAUCAUCUUGAGUACUUCGCGAGGUGUCACCCUCGAUACCCGAUAGUAGCUCUGUAGUGCCGCACAACUAAGGGGGUGUGAGUGCUGUGUCGGAUCUGGCUCGUCGAUCAGGGAUCAAGACUUGAUGACAAAGCGGGGCAACUGGACUACGGGGUCAGUGGGGAUGACUGCUCCACCUAUACGAAACAACUUAAAGUACAUUACUGAAAGUAACAGUUUAUCAAAAUUAGGCUAUAUAUCAGAUAUGGGAGCUAAUUACAAGAGUAGCAAUAUUCUAAUGCGAGCAGGAGGAAGAAAGACAUAGGCGAUAUAUAGAUGAUCAAGGUGGUUUGCUUGC